CUACGGGAUGCAGCAGUGAGGAAUUUUGCGCAAUGGGGGAAACCCUGACGCAGCAACGCCGCGUGAGUGAAGAAGGCCCUUGGGUCGUAAAGCUCUGUCAAUGGGGAAGAAGUUAUUAUGUGUUAAUAGCACAUUUUAUUGACGGUACCCAUGAAGGAAGCACCGGCUAACUCCGUGCCAGCAGCCGCGGUAAUACGGGGGGUGCAAGCGUUAUUCGGAAUUAUUGGGCGUAAAGGGCACGCAGGCGGUCCUGUCAGUCAGAUGUGAAAGCCCGGGGCUCAACCCCGGACGUGCAUUUGAAACAGCAGGACUUGAGUACGGGAGAGGAAAGGGGAAUUCCUGGUGUAGAGGUGAAAUUCGUAGAUAUCAGGAGGAACACCGGUGGCGAAGGCGCCUUUCUGGACCGAUACUGACGCUGAGGUGCGAAGGCGUGGGUAGCGAACGGGAUUAGAUACCCGCGUAGUC
rnacentral:rRNA from 1 species